GGACUACCGGGGUAUCUAAUCCGGUUCGCUCCCCACGCUUUCGCGCCUCAGCGUCAGGGCACCCCCAGCCGGCCGCCUUCGCCACUGGUGUUCCUCCCGAUCUCUACGCAUUUCACCACUACACCGGGAAUUCCACCGGCCUCUAGGUCCCUCCAGUCCGGCAGUCGCCACCGCCCCCUCCCAGUUGAGCCGGGAGAUUUCACGGCAGCCUUACCGCACCACCUGCGCGCGCUUUACGCCCAAUAAAUCCGGACAACGCUUGCCACCUACGUAUUACCGCGGCGGCUGGCAC
rnacentral:rRNA from 1 species